GAAAUGCGAUAAGUAGUGUGAAUUGCAGAAUUCAGUGAAUCAUCGAAUCUUUGAACGCACAUUGCGCCCCUCGGUAUUCCGUGGGGCAUGCCUGUUCGAGCGUCAUCUACACCCUCAAGCUCUGCUUGGUGUUGGGCGUCUGUCCCGCCGCAGCUUCCAUUGCGUAGUAGCUAACACCUCGCAACUGGAGAGCGGCGCGGCCACGCCGUAAAACACCCAACUUCUGAAUGUUGACCUCGAAUCAGGUAGGAAUACCCGCUGAACUUAAGC
rnacentral:misc_RNA from 1 species